rnacentral:rRNA from 1 species
AUUGAACGCUGGCGGCAGGCCUAACACAUGCAAGUCGAACGGUAGCACAGAGGAGCUUGCUCCUUGGGUGACGAGUGGCGGACGGGUGAGUAAUGUCUGGGAAACUGCCCGAUGGAGGGGGAUAACUACUGGAAACGGUAGCUAAUACCGCAUAAUGUCGCAAGACCAAAGAGGGGGACCUUCGGGCCUCUUGCCAUCGGAUGUGCCCAGAUGGGAUUAGCUGGUAGGUGAGGUAAUGGCUCACCUAGGCGACGAUCCCUAGCUGGUCUGGGAGGAUGACCAGCCACACUGGAACUGAGACACGGUCCAGACUCCGACGGGAGGCAGCAGUGGGGAAUAUUGCACAAUGGGCGCAAGCCUGAUGCAGCCAUGCCGCGUGUGUGAAGAAGGCCUUCGGGUUGUAAAGCACUUUCAGCGGGAGGAAGGCAGUACGGUUAAUAACCGUGUUGAUUGACGUUACCCGCAGAAGAAGCACCGGCUAACUCCGUGCCAGCCGCCGCGGUAAUAC